UACGAAGGGGGCUAGCGUUGCUCGGAAUCACUGGGCGUAAAGCGCACGUAGGCGGCUUCUUAAGUCAGGGGUGAAAUCCUGGAGCUCAACUCCAGAACUGCCUUUGAUACUGGGGAGCUAGAGUCCGGGAGAGGUGAGUGGAACUGCGAGUGUAGAGGUGAAAUUCGUAGAUAUUCGGAGGAACACCAGUGGCGAAGGCGGCUCACUGGUCCAUUACUGACGCUGAGGUGCGAAAGCGUGGGGAGCAAACAGG
rnacentral:rRNA from 1 species